ensembl:lncRNA
AUUUACCCAUUGAGCAGUCGCUUACUUCCAAAGCAAUGUACGAAUCGGGGCAAAGAAAAGCUGGUCCCUUUCAGAUAACUAUCGAUACCGUAAAGCUUAAUGCAAACGUCUUCGAAAAGCUGAACAAUCACCUGUUACAAAUUGACCAAGAUGAGGUCGGUGUCAGGACUUUAAAUGAGUGUUUUCCAGUGGACACGGUAGAAAUCACCCGAAAUAGUGUUUUAAGAGACUCAAGAUGAUUCUCCGGAGGUGGUCGAAAGAAGCAAAUGGAAACUGAAACCGUUUAAGGAAGUGAGGUGAACGUGUUAAUGAAGACACGAAGUGUUUGAAUUCCACCACCCUUGACAGCCAGUGAAAGCCAGUCAACGGAGCAGCGUGAAGGCGCCGUAAAGGCGCCAUGCGGGCUACGUCAUGGCUGGAGAGCAGAUGGAUGCAAAUGCCUUCAGAGAAAGACCAGAACCGAACAAAUUCAUAUUAUGACAAUUGCCAGCACGUCGAUAAUGGAAAUAGGACUUCUGCCGACAACUGCAACUAUGUUGGACAGUCUCAGUCGGCCCUGUACAACACUGGAUCUGCAUAUGCUGGAAAGUAUUCCUUACACUCUGGAAGUGUUGCAGAUGAAAGUCCUUGGAAUGCCCUAGGACAGAUUAGGCAGGCAGAACCUGUUCAUUUGUCUUUGGAUUCCCCAUCUAAACAAAAAAGUUACCAACUGAAUGGUGGGAUUGUAGUUCCCCUGGAAUCAAGAGACCAGUCUGUAACAAGUGUCCGUUGUGUUCCUCAAUUGGGCCAAACUCUGCUUCAGAAUGGAACUUUGGUCCCAAGUAGACAAAAUCCACAAGGACUGGAAAUUACACAAGAAAUGCAGCCCUGUUUCUCCAGCCUUGCUAUGUGCAAUAUACCACAAGGGCACAUGAAUAACUGUUUUAGUGGUCCUCAUUUUCAGAGGCUGAUGGACAGUGGGCAGGUAACAACUGCAAACUCUUCCUUUGCUCAAUUACCUCACCCUGUAGAGUGGAAUUCACCCUACCACUACAUGCAGUGGCAGAGCCCUAUGGCAGGUGGUAUGGUGAAUAACAGGUAUGUCACACCAAGCAGCAGCAGGCAGAGAUCAGAUUCCACCAAGGCAGUUCCUUCUGGCCGUGGGCGCGUUGCUCCUCACGCUCGCCAGGCAACAGGCCCCAAACCCAGACUGAGGAAGGCAAAUAUGAGCGCGGGUACAAAGAGCAGUGAACAAGGAACCAUUGGUAGUCAAACAACUGGAGAUGGUAGCAGGGGUGGUGUCAAUAGAGUGCUGUGCCAGAAUCAAUCUGUGGCUCCUCCUCCAACUAUGUUCUUGAACUCUAAUUUGGAAAUUGUUGGUGUCAGUUCUCCUCAGAACAUCCACAUGGCGCAUCCAAACUCUUCUGCUGUACCUUCAGCUGAUGGAUUUAGUGGUUUUUUACAACUUCUGCUUCAGACAAAUACCACCCCAGAUGGGAUCAGCAGUACAAAUAGAAGCACGGUCCGUGGGAGCUGCAGUGAGGCUAACCAGAAACACUCUGCAGGUGUAGAAGUGCCUCUCCUGAGUUCUGGUCCUGGUCUGUCUGCUGCUAAAGGAAAUAGCUCAAACAGUUCUACCUCAUGCACCAGUCAUGGAUAUUCCCAGACCUACGUUGGGCAGCUACCCCAAAACAGAUUAACUAAGGCCAAUGGUGGUGUUAUGACUUGUGACUCUGGUUUCAUGCAACAGAGAGAUUUUGUUGGCAUGUCAUGUCCCCGGCCAGCAGUGCAACAACAAAAAACAUUACAACCGCUGGUGGGUUCUGGGAUGACAGGGUCUUCUUUGUGUCAACUAAAUGCAGGGUCUCUUGCAAGUGUAUGUCAUACUGUUGGCCAUCCUUCAGCAUGUACUGAUGAAAAUGGCAAUACAGCUCAUCCUGGUGCCGCAACUGGUAGCAGUGGGCAACAGUCUCAUACAGACCAAUUCCUGCAGCCUCUCAGCCAGCAGAAUAGUGGAAAGUGCCGGGGCUGUUUUGUCACUGCUACUGAUGACAGGAAGGGAAGUGUGUUACCUGCUGAUAAUGUGAUCACGGAGAGCCAGCCACCUGUCUGUUCUUUAUCGACACAAGAGAGCACUGAAAGGGUCUCAGAGCAGUCUAAGGAGAACGGUAAUAUAUCUAGAGAGCUUGAUCGCACAAAUAUCUCAGAUGAUCAGAACAUUGAGCUCCUGGUUUCAGAGACUUCUGCCAAAAUGGAUGUAUUUAAAUUGCCGAAAGCAAACGGCCAACAAAGCAUGCCUGUUGGUAUAGGUGGGCAAAAGGCCAUUGCAGUUGUUCCACCUAUAUCGCAGCAGUCAAGUGUUAUAGACAGGAUAGAGUGUGCUGCUAGUGCAGAAGGUUGUUUGCCAUGCAAGAUUCAGAGUGCUUGGUCUCUCACUGGUGACAGUGAUGGGAAUAAGCCUCAUGAUGAAGGAAGCAAUCUCCGCCUGUCCCAAAAUGGAAUGGAUAAAGUGAUCAGCGGUUCUUUCUCAGAUGGAGUGGCAUGCAGAGGAAAACCUGCUGAGAUGGUUUCAAGCUUGUCAAACCAGCAACACUCUAAAUCGACAAAUCAAGGGACUCUCAAUAUGGGUAGCAGGAAUGAAAUAUCCUGUUCCGAAUUUCACAGCAACUCUGAGGGUACUGCCCGAAAUAAUCACAAUAAUAAGGAUGAUUUGGAGAAUGUGUUCUGUUUAUCAACAAUUCCUGUCUCUGAGUGGACUAUUGACAAUUUACGUAAAUUAAUUGCUUACCUGGAGAUUGUUGAAACACCAGCUAAGUAUAAUAAACGGGUUGUUAGUCAAAUUAUGGACCUUUUUUGGGGUGGUGACCAAAAAAAUCUUCUGAAUGCCUUAUGUGUGGGACUUUACAGAACAAUUUUUCAUUAUUGGGAAGUCUCCAUUGACGAGAAAAAUCCGGUUGUGUUGUCACAGUUUGACAAUGCAUGCAUGAAAAAAAUGGCAGAAAAAUGUCACAUUCUAGAACAUGGUGCCACCUUCUCUGAGACAGCAUACAAGUCAUCCUGGUUGCAUCUCAAUGAGAAGCUAGAUGAUAUAGACAUGGAACAUGGCUUUCCUAUGUUUCCUAGCUUUGACGUAAAAAUGCCUGGCAAAGGAAAUCAGAGCUCUGAGCUUAAUGCGAUUGAACAAAGCAAAGUGAUAGGACCUGUCACGAAGACAGUGGACAUGGAUUUACAGCAAAUGGUGCUACGGGUCCCUGCCACAGAACUUCCUGAUCCCCUGUCUUCAAUAGAAAUCAAAGUGCUUCCACUAGAGGAUGCAAAGAAGUAUUUUGACAGUAUUGCAAGUGAAAGUGGUCUGACUGGAGAGAGACAAAACAAGGAGUUGGCACAAGACUCAGAGAAGAAAGAUUCCCAAAAUUAUGUAUAUUGUUGUAUCUCGAAAUGGAUUGAAGUACUAAACGGACAAGAAGAGAACUCAUUGUGCAGAUGCCAGAGUCAGGGUAGUCAAAAAAUGGAAACUAGUGAUGUUUCGUUAAAGGAGAAACUGGAAGUUACAGUAGAAAGCCCCUUGGAAUUAUCAAGUGGAGAUCAAGUCAUCAUAAAACAAGAGAACAAGGGGCUGGAUACCAGAAAGGACAUCAAAACCAUAACUAAGGAAUGUUCAGUGGGAAUAGAGGCUGUCCAGCAAUCAGAUGACAAAAAAAGUAUUUCAAAGCUUCAAAUUUUGUCACCUGCUGGUGAAAUUGGCUUAAAUGUGGUUGAAAUAAAAGUAGAAGAUCUGAAUUUGUGUCAUAUGGAGGUUGCUGAAGUAGAGGCCUCACCAUCUUUUCAAACAGGGAGUACAAUUCCAUGGAUUUCAGAACUGCACAAUCCAGGUUGUAUGAAUGUGAAUAACUGUUUUGACAAUGGAGAUGCCAAGAAGAUGGGAACAGACACAACUGUUGACAGAAGAAAGUUCUCAAAUAUCUCAGAGCCUCCAAAAAGCCUAGGGGGAUUUGAACCAGUCUCCUUAAGACAAAGAUUUUGCCAUCGACUUUGUCCCAAGGAGAGACUCAAACACAGAGAUGAGAGAGAAUGGAAAGAAGGCGAGUGUAAGGAGAAACAAAAAAGAACUUUGCACUCCAAACUGCCUGUUCAAAAUCUUUUGCACAGAACAACUGAAAAGGAGGGAGAAAAGGUGUCUGCAUGCCCUCAGUCAGUACCCGGGAUUAAAACUCAUGAUGAGUGCAACAAUCGUUCAAUUGUAAAAGUUGGGCACAAGCAAAAAUCUAAAAAGGGCGAGUCCCAGGUCCUGUCGGAUGUUCCUAAACGAUGUGUAAGAAACUGUGGUAAACAUAGACACGCAGCUAACGGUGAGGUUGGAAAAAAACUGAAAAAGGAAAUCUCUCCGAAAGGCACAGCAGCAACAGAAAGCAGCACAAUUGUCAGUCUGACUUUAUAUGGGUCUUCCCUCCAACCUGAUCAUAAAACUCAUUUGUUUCAGCCCAACAAAUCCAUCCCGCCUGCAACAAUUAGCUUAAAUAUUAGUCCCCACGACAAAAGUAUUUCCGAAAAAGACUGGGUGAAAAAUAGCCAGGCAAAGCAAAGGGUCUAUUCGAGCUGGAAAAGCAGUUGGAUUCCUCAAAAGGACCCUUCAGACACGAAAGUAUUGCAUUCCACAAGAAAUGGCAAGGAAAAAGCACGUACACGCAAACCUAAAGAGACUAAUACUCCAAACGUUGCUCUAUCCGAACCAAACAAAGGCUCGCUUCUCAAAAUGAAACCACCACCCUCAUGUUCUGAUUUGCCGGCAGAAGCAAUAGAUAAGCGAGAAAAAGACGCAAAUAAAUCGCAUGCUGCUCCUUCCAAACCGAUCCGUAAAGGAGAGGACAGAGCAGUCCUCGGUAGUGACAAACAGACUCUGCUGUGUUCCAUGAAGGAGAAGCCUCAGCUUCCUCUAACAGCAAUCAAGAGGAAACAAUCCGAAAAGGGGCAGAAUGCACAUGUUUCAAAGCAGUCCCGUCUCCAACAGUCCAGGAGAUGCAAUUCCGUAGAGAGAUGUAAAUACGAGAUUGGGAAUCCAGCGUUGAUGCCAUCCCCAGUGCACAAGAAUAUCCUGAAAUUCAAGCUCCUGCACAAGUCUUUUGACCUCAGAGAAGCUGAAGACUAUGAGAUGGAAAAGAAACUUUUCAGACAAUCUAAGAAGACACCCAAGCCUCAGGAAUUGGAAGAAUCAACCAGACAGAAGACAGCAACCUGGAAAAUUAAAGGUCCAUGGUCCCAUAAUUUAGAGAAGAAAGAGCCAGUUUCUGACAUCUAUUCAUCCAGAAUGACCGUGCCAUCCCAUACAGCCUAUGAAGAAUACAGAAGACAAUCCCUGGCAAAGACUAGAAAAUGAGGAAACUACUUAAUGUGAACGGCAAGGAUUCAAAACCAAGAGAAGACUUUCUACAUAACUGCAAUCUUCUUCUCUAAAAAGCUUUUUCCUAGUGUGACAAGAAGUUUGUUUUAAAAAUGUGGCUGCUAUCCUCCCCCCCUCCCCCCCCUAGAAUUUUGUACAAGGGAAAGACAAAAUAAACUUUUUUUCAAAUUUAAAUGCA